GAUGAACGCUGGCGGCGUGCCUAAUACAUGCAAGUCGAGCGAACAGAUGAGGAGCUUGCUCCUCUGACGUUAGCGGCGGACGGGCGAGUAACACGUGGAUAACCUACCUAUAAGACUGGGAUAACUACGGGAAACCGGAGCUAAUACCGGAUAAUAUAUUGAACCGCAUGGUUCAAUAGUGAAAGACGGUUUUGCUGUCACUUAUAGAUGGAUCCGCGCCGCAUUAGCUAGUUGGUAAGGUAACGGCUUACCAAGGCAACGAUGCGUAGCCGACCUGAGAGGGUGAUCGGCCACACUGGAACUGAGACACGGUCCAGACUCCUACGGGAGGCAGCAGUAGGGAAUCUUCCGCAAUGGGCGAAAGCCUGACGGAGCAACGCCGCGUGAGUGAUGAAGGUCUUCGGAUCGUAAAACUCUGUUAUUAGGGAAGAACAAAUGUGUAAGUAACUAUGCACGUCUUGACGGUACCUAAUCAGAAAGCCACGGCUAACUACGUG
rnacentral:rRNA from 1 species